AUCCCACAUGAGCCAGGCAGAGGGAGGCGGGGCAGCUGCAGCGGGAGCGGGGUGUGCUCACCUCUUUAACCAAGCAGCCACCCCCUUCUACUGACUCCUACCUUGAGGAGUUUGGAGCAUGGGCCUUGGGAGUGUUGAUCCUCCACCUUCCUGGGUUCUCAGAACGUUCUGCAGCGACAGGAGUGCAGCUUCAGCCUCCUUUGGGAGAGGCUAGGCAAUGAGGAGGAAAGUCAUCAGUCAAGCAGCCCUGGAGGGAUGAUGCUUUGAGAGCGAGCAGGCCAAGCUGGCCUCCUGAUGGUGGGCGAGCUUAGCUUGAAGGAUGGUCCACUACAACACUCCCUGACUCUCAGUCUGACCGAACACCUGUAGCCCUCAGCACGGAACCCAUUGCCUCUCUUUUACUCCUGUGCAUGUCCAUCGCUGCCCCUGGAAGAAGCAUGAGCCCCGCAUACUCUCUCCACAGACUUCUGCCUUCCUGCAUUUCACCAUGAAUGCCACUGUGCCCCUACUGGGCAAACAUGUCCCCAUAGCAGGGCAGACCUUGCUUCAAUGGGUCAUGAUGAUGAAGAGACAGCUGACACUAAGCUAGAGAUGUGCCUGCCAAGGUCCAUCUGAGCCUCCAUCUCCACAUUUAAGAGUAACCUCCAUUCCACAUCCCCUUGAGCUCCAGCCUCCACAUGGCCCAUGCUAGGAGAAUCCACACGGAUGCCCUCUCUUCCUCCCUCCUCGGUCACUGCCACAACUCUCCAGUGGCUCCUCCUAAGAAACUGUCCAGUGUGUGUGUGUGUGUGUCACUGAUCAAUGAGUGUUUCCUGUGUUCCUUCUGACAUCCAGAGGGCCAGGCUGUGUCCCUAAUCCUGAGGCCUGGUUCCCAGAGGCAGGCCUCCAGGAGGGGUUAGGAUCUGUGAUGUGGAUAGUAGCUUUACAAGAAAAGACAGAAGAGUUUGCUUAGCUCCUCUCACCUAUGGCCUUUUAGGUCUCAGGGCACUAGGUGAGAGACAUAGGCUACCUCCAAACCAAGAAGAAAGCGCUCUUCACAGAAUUUCCAUCUUGGACUUGAUCUUGGACUAUGCCCUCCAGCUGUGAGAAAUAUACAUUUCUGUUGCUUGAGGGACCCAAUCUAUGGCAUUUUGUCAUAGUGAUCCAAGGUGACCAAUGUGCACAAAGGUUAUAUGUCCCCAGUGGGCAAUCAUAAAUCAAUUAGACUUGAUAUGUCCUCUCUUCUGUAACUGGCCCCUCUGACAGGAGGGGAGAUAGAGCUAGCCUCUCCAGGCCUGCCUCAUUCCACUCUCCCUGAAUGUGAGUGUCCGUCUUGAGUCACCUGUUGAAACCAAGGGACAGUAUCAGAAAGAGAGUCUUUAAGAAGUGAAAAGAUUCGGUCUGAAGAAGUGGAUAUUCAGUUAAGAGCAUUAGCUGUUCUUCGGGAGGGCCUGGGUUCAAUUCCCAGCACCCACAUGGCAGCUCACAGCCAUCUAUGACUCUAGUUUCAGGGUAUCUGGGCUCCACAGACACCUGCAAGGACAGGGUGCACUUCUAGAGAAGUGGGCACAUACAUGUUCAUAAAUAUGUUUUUAAAGUGAUGAGGUGGGGGGGGGGGAGUCCUUGUGGCAGGAUUAGUGCCUUCCAAGGCAGCAUGUGGCUUCUUUCCUGCUGACUAAGGGCACAGCAAGAAGACAGCUAACCACAGACCAGGAAGCAGCCUUCACGGGCAUCAGGUCUACAGGCACUUUGCUCCCGUAAUGAGCUGUCUCCAGAACCUUAAGAAAAUGUAUGUGUUCUUUAAGUGAUCCAGCCCAUGGUGGCUGCGUGUGUCCAUGCAUACCCACACACUGGGUCUUAUUUCAGGACCACACAUGUGCUGGGUAAGCAGUGCUGCCGAGCUGUCCCCCAUCCUUGUAACGGUCUGUUUCAGUUUGCUUCUCUGUUGCUGUGAUAAAACAUUCUGGCCAAAAGCGACUCAUGGAGGAAUUUAUUUUCUCCAGGUCAAAAUGAGGUAGAGACCACAGAGAGUACGGCUUACUGGCUUGCUCCCCUCAGCUUGUGGUUUUAUACAACCCAGACCUACCUGACUAGGGCUGGCAUUGCCUAAGUGAGCUGGUCCUUCUUACAUCAAUUAGCAACCAAGAAAAUGCCCCACAGAUAAGGCCACAGGCCAAUCUGCUGUGGACUAGUCUUCAUUUGAGGUUCUCUCUUCCCAAGUUACUCUGGGUUCUAUCAAACUGCCCGCUGAAGCUAGCUAUGACAGGUGUCUUUGUUGUAGAACUCCCCCCCCCCCCAUAGAAUACCUUAGAGUGACUUCUGACUGCUUUUAUUACUUUGGGAGCUUUCUAUCAAUAGACUUAGGGCUCUGCCCCUUUUGCUGGAUGCUAUGUUUCUGAGACUGGCUCGGGCUCUUGGGUAUGGCGCUGUAAUUUGUUCUUUGUUUACUGCUGUGUGGUUUUCCAUUGCGGAACCAUACUGCACUCUGCCCGGUUUUAAUGGAUGUGCGGGUUGACCGUUAGUUUAAAAGCUGUAUGGCACGGGGUCCUGUGUCUCGGCGCUGGCAGGGUUUGUGAGUGUUCAGCUCAGCUGUGGAUGUUUAAGCACUUUCCUGAGACGUACGUGCCUGUUGCUCAGCCUCCUUCAGAGAGCUGUUGCCCUGGGGUCAGCUACUCCCUGCUUCCACUGCUGAGUCCAACACCCUCUGAACUGCCCGGGCCCUCAUACCAGUGAGGAUGACCCGAGGUGACGACUCUGUACCCUACGUUGUCCCAGCUUCACCCUCCUCUAGACUCCAGGGUUCUCCUCCCUCCUCCUGAUAUUCCAGGCUCCAAGCUUCCAAAUGCCGGGUCUAAAUUCUGGAGUCUCACACUGUGCAUCCAAACAGUCCUGCCCCAUGUGCCUCAUUUGCUCCUUUACUGGACACUGGCAACAUUUGUGAUAAGAUGCACACCUCAGACAAUGAAUUUGUACAAUCUAGUCAUGGCCUAGCCUAUUAUCCCCCACAUUCUCUCUCCUCCUCUCCUCCAUUCAGAAUCUACAGGUUAAACUCCUGUUCCAGUGAGCCCCAGGAAGAUCCUUGGCUCUCCCGGAAGCUCACAUCGUGUUUCUUGCCUCCUGUAGAAGUACAGCCUCUCACUUCUUGAGUUGGGUCUGGCUUUGGGCCAAGGACCGUGAAGCAUUCAGAGCAUCCUCUGAACUGGCACUCUAUAGCUUCUCUCUAUUUUCUUUAUUAAACUUCUUUUUCGUGUCUAAGAAUCUCAGGGGAAGUACUCCUCCGGGUGAAGCUUCCGUUGGACCCUGAAUGACUAAAGAUGUCAGGGCCCCCAUCACAUGUGUAGGAUUCGCAAGUAUAAACCAAUGCUGUAUGGAGUCACUAAGUCCUGAGGGCUGUUUGUUUCUGCAGCACACCUUUACCUGUCCUGACUGCUACAUCCCUGUGCAGCAGGUAGAGGUGAAGUUUUCCCACAUGCUUUCUCCUCCUGUCUCUUGAAUGGACCAAAGUUACACUGUACCAGGAAAAGUAGUUCGCAAGCACCCCCUUGGGUGGGCCACAGGGUUGUAAGGACUAGGGACAUGGCUUAGUGGGAGCUUCCCUAGCAAUGUGCAUGGCCCUGGGUUCCAGCCUCUGUAAUAAACAAAACACAAGGAAUUGGCAGCCAGUCUGACCCUCACCAUCUUCAUCCAGGACCUAGACCAAUAGGUCAGUGUUUGUUACAGCUCCUUUUACUUAAGAUAUAAAACUAAGACUCGGGGGGAUAACUCAGUAGGUGAGAGUGCUCGCUGUGCAAGCAUGAAGACCUGAAUUCAAUAGUUCCCCAGCCUAUAACCCUAGCACUAUAGAGGCCAGAGACAAGAGGGCCAGUGGUGCUUGCUGGCUGCCAGGCUGGUUCUAAGUUCUAGGUUCGGUGAGAGAUGCUGUCUCAAGGGAAUAGAGUUCUGGUCCAGUGUCUCCUCUGGCCUCUGUAGACACAGGUAUGCACACCUGUACACACGUGUGUAGACAUGCCACAUACACAAACCACACUCUCUCAUGUCCUUAUGUACACUGAAAGAUCAGUCAGACAGACACAGAUUUUUACAUGCCUCCCGGUCAUACCCCUUUCCUUCCCUUCUUCCCAAAGGCAAGCACUGUUUCAAAGCUAAUGCUAUCUUCAUUUCUAUCCUUUAACAUAUGUGCAUACGGUUGAAUCAUUUUGAGUAGUUCUAAAGUGUAAACAAACAUCGUAUUGACUGCCCCAUGUUCCGAAUUGCUUUCUCCCACCUCUUCCUGGCACUGCUUCUUUCAACCCUAUGUAGCUUUCCCCAUUGAUCUCCAGGGCAGGAAGGAAGCAAUCGAUGGUGUGCUGCACUUUAACCUUCUUGACAGAGCUGGUUGCAAGCAUCAUGCCUGAGUUUGUGUUCAGUGAUGUCAUGGGAAUGGCAGGACAUCAGCCGCAGUGAAGAAUUUACAUCUCAGAAGCCAGCCAAAGCUAGAAGUUUAAGUGAUUCUCUCUAGAUGGAAAGUUGUUAAAUGUUUAUCUGUGACCACAGUGGGCUCUCACUUCUCCAGCCCGGCUUCCACCCACCCUGAUGGACGUCCAGCUUGUCUCCAAACUCUCAUGGCUGCAAACAGAACACAAUUUAAAGGUAAAGGCUCCUGGGGACGUGGAGGGAGCCCCGGGUGACACUGGAGUACAGUUAGCAUCUGCUUGUUGCCAAAGCUGAGGAACAAUGACUUCCUGCUGCAGGGCACACGUCUCUGCCACAGGAACUCACAGAAGAUGCUGAUCUUCAUGCAGUGAGAUUUAUCGGUGCUGUCAUUUGUGUAUGCCACCUUCUGUCUCCUGUUGGGUCGAUACACUACAUACCUUGAGCUGUGAGGGAUGUCAACAAAGUGUGUUCUGUCCAUGUUGAGGAAGGACCACACUAGCUCCUUCCCUAUAUAAAGAACCUAAUGUCCAGUCCAUCCCCUGGACAGAACACAUCCCUUCUGCACAUACCUAUGAAAUCACUUAUCUUCUACACAGGUCCCUGUAGAGAUGUGAGUCUCCUUCUGGACUCUGUUCUGUUCAGUUAUUCUUUUUGUCUGACUCAUAUGGCAGUCCCAUCCUGCUUAGGUAGCAUAGCAUUAUAGUAGGUAUACAGUGUAUAAGAGCUACAUAGUAUAGUAGGUCAAUAUCUGAUAGACCAGAGGCUCCAUCUUGGCUUUUCUUCGAAAUUGUCUUAGCUACUCCUGGGCUUUUGCUCUUCAGUAUCGGUUCCUAACCAUUCAGAUCCCAUCACAAGUACUUUUGAGGGGCUGGAAAGAUAGAUCAGCAGUUACAAACACAUACUGGUCUUGCAGAGGGCACAAGUUCAUUCACAAGAGCCUAACUCCAGCUCCAGAAGGUCUGAUGCCCUCUACUGGCCUCUUCAGGUACUUCACUCAUAUGCACAUCAACCAUACACAACACACACAGACACAUAAUUAAAAGUAAACUAUGCCAUAGCAGUGAUGGUGCACACCUUUAAUCCCAGCACUUAAGAGGCAGAGGCAGAUGGAUCUCUGAGUUCAAGGCCAGUUUAGUCUACAGAGCAAGUUCCAGGACAACCAAGACUACACAGAGAAACGCUGUCUUGAAAACCUAACUAAAUAAAUACACUAAAUAAUAUUUUUUAAUAAUAAAAUAGUCUUUGCUGUUAUUUUCAUUGAAUUCAAUAUGAAUUUACAGCUAGCCAAAAGAAAGUGACUUUCAGGGCUGGAGAGAUGGCUCAGCAAUUAAGAGCACUGACUGCUUUUUCAGAGGCCCUGAGUUCAAUUCCCAGCACCCACAUGGUGGCUUACAACCAUCUGUAAUGGGAUUCAAUACCGUCUUCUGGUGUGCCUGAAGUCAGCAGCAGUGUACUCACAUAUACAAAAUAAAUACAUAAAUCUAGAGAGAAAAAAAAGCAAUCAUGGGGAAGAGGAAAAGUGUCUCAGAAGUUAAGAGUCCUAUACUUAACUAUAGGACUAUAGGGGACCCAGUUUCAGUCUGAACAUCCACACAUUGGAUUCAACAUCCACUUUGGGUUUCUGAGGGCGUUGCACACACAUGUUAUGCAGACAUGCAUGCAGAUAAACACCCAUACAUAUAAAAUAAAAAUAAAUCUUUUUUUUUAAAAAUA